UUGCACAGUGAACACCCCAGCGUGCCAUGUAGCACUCCUGGUCAUCUUAAUCUGUGCCAAAGUAAAAUCUGGUCUGUACCUCUGCAUUGAAAGAACUUUCUUUUCUUCUAAAUGUAUUCAACGGCCCAGUACAUGU